rnacentral:rRNA from 1 species
CCAACAGGGAUUGCCCUAGUAACGGCGAGUGAAGCGGCAACAGCUCAAAUUUGAAAUCUGGCUCUUUCAGAGUCCGAGUUGUAAUUUGCAGAGGGCGCUUUGGUGUUGGCAGCGGUCCAAGUUCCUUGGAACAGGACGUCACAGAGGGUGAGAAUCCCGUACGUGGUCGCUAGCCUUCGCCGUGUAAAGCCCCUUCGACGAGUCGAGUUGUUUGGGAAUGCAGCUCUAAAUGGGAGGUAAAUUUCUUCUAAAGCUAAAUACUGGCCAGAGACCGAUAGCGCACAAGUAGAGUGAUCGAAAGAUGAAAAGCACUUUGGAAAGAGAGUCAAAUAGCACGUGAAAUUGUUGAAAGGGAAGCGCUUGCAGCCAGACUUGCCUGUAGUUGCUUAUCCGGACUUUUGUCCGGUGCACUCUUCUGCGGGCAGGCCAGCAUCAGUUUGGGCGGUUGGAUAAAGGUCUCUGUCAUGUACCUCUCUUCGGGGAGAACUUAUAGGGGAGACGACAUGCAACCAGCCUGGACUGAGGUCCGCGCAUCUGCUAGGAUGCUGGCGUAAUGGCUGUAAGCGGCCCGUCUUGAAACACGGACCAAGGAGUCUAACAUCUAUGCGAGUGUUUGGGUGUCAAGCCCAGACGCGUAAUGAAAGUGAACGGAGGUGGGAACCCUUUGGGUGCACCAUCGACCGAUCCUGAUGUCUUCGGAUGGAUUUGAGUAAGAGCAUGGCUGUUGGGACCCGAAAGAUGGUGAACUAUGCUUGAAUAGGGUGAAGCCAGAGGAAACUCUGGUGGAGGCUCGCAGCGGUUCUGACGUGCAAAUCGAUCGUCAAAUUUGGGCAUAGGGGCGAAAGACUAAUCGAACUAUCUAGU